UACGUAGGGGGCAAGCGUUGUCCGGAAUUAUUGGGCGUAAAGAGCGUGUAGGCGGCCAGAUAAGUCCGCUGUGAAAUCUCGAGGCUCAACUUCGAGCUGUCGGUGGAAACUAUCUGGCUAGAGUCCGGAAGAGGAGAAUGGAAUUCCUGGUGUAGCGGUGAAAUGCGCAGAUAUCAGGAAGAACACCCGUGGCGAAGGCAGCUCUCUGGGACGGUACUGACGCUGAGACGCGAAAGCGUGGGAGCAACGGG
rnacentral:rRNA from 1 species